rnacentral:misc_RNA from 1 species
GAAAUGCGAUACUUGGUGUGAAUUGCAGAAUUCAGUGAAUCAUCGAAUCUUUGAACGCACAUUGCGCCCACUAGUAUUCUAGUGGGCAUGCCUGUUCGAGCGUCAUUUCAACCCUCAAGCCUUAGUUGCUUGGUGUUGGGAGCUUAUCUUGCCGGAAGGCAGAUAACUCCUUAAAACCAUUGGCGGUGUCGCGGUGACCCCAAGCGUAGUAAAUCUUUCUUUUUCUCGCUUUAGGCGUCAACGCCGGCCUCUAGCCGUUAAACCCCCUAUUUUUUAAUGGUUGACCUCGGAUCAGGUAGGACUACCCGCUGAACUUAA